rnacentral:misc_RNA from 1 species
AAAAUGCGAUAAGUAAUGUGAAUUGUAGAAUUCAGUGAAUCAUCGAAUCUUUGAACGCACAUUGCGCCCGCCAGUAUUCUGGCGGGCAUGCCUGUUCGAGCGUCAUUUCAACCCUCAAGCCCCCCGGGUUUGGUGUUGGGGAUCGGGCUGCGGUUCUGCCGCGUCCCGGCCCCGAAAUCUAGUGGCGGUCUCGCUGCAGCCUCCAUUGCGUAGUAGCUAACACCUCGCAACUGGAACGCGGCGCGGCCAAGCCGUUAAACCCCCCAACUUCUGAAUGUUGACCUCGGAUCAGGUAGGAAUACCCGCUGAACUUAAGC